rnacentral:tRNA from 1 species
AUCGAGGUAGCUCAGAGGUAGAGCGGUCAGAAGCGCGCGAUAAUACAGCUGACAGGUCAAUGGUUCGAUUCCAUUCCUCGGUA